rnacentral:lncRNA from 1 species
GGAUAGGAGUCUAUUGCCAAUCACCACCUGGCCGAAUUCUCACUAUUGUGGGGCAGGCUUUACUAUAUUUCUUGUCAUCAUUAUCAUUUCCACCAUGAGCUUUAUUAUCAAUGCAACUGAAGUAAAAUCUUAGGCCAGCACUGUUCAUUACUGAAGUGAAAUGUUGAUCAGCCUACAGCAAAAUGAAUCUGAAGGAGCAAUACUCAAUGCUGUGGUCACUAUGAAAUGACACCAACAUCCCUUAAUUUCCCCCAGAGCAUCAUCAGGUAAGCAAACUUUCUGUUUUCCAAGCUGGGUGGGAAUCCUUCCACCCAUUUUCUAGAGCUGGUGGGCAGCAAACACGGGGCUGUGAACCUCGAGAAGGUCAUUUCAAGCGGGAACUCACAUAGAUGUGCCAAGGAUUUUUCCUGGCCAUGUUUUAUCAUCUGUGCCUGCUCUUUCUCUAAGAACACCAAAUAAAGCAGUCCUUACUCCAUGGAUCAUUUAGUUUACUAAAUCAUGGUUUAUUUUUUCCACAGGAUAUCACCUGCUAUUUUAGAAUCAGUUUUCAAAAGGUCUUAAAUGACUUGGCUCAAAAUUGGUUUUGUAUUAAGGGAAAGAACCGGUGUCCCAGAGUUUCAAUCAGCACUUUAACAAAUAGGCUGCCGACCUCCCACAGAUUGCCAACAGUAAUGGUUAGCUGAGACUUCCAAGGUCCAUUUCUCUCUGCUUCUUUCCUACAUUUUUCCCACCCUGUUUUCACUGAAAACAGGAUUAUAGUCGACAGUUAUAUAGGAAGGGGUUGGGGGAAGGCGGACAUAACUUAAGAUCUGCUGCCUCAUUCCACAUAACUUCUAAAGGUGCAAUCAGCUGAAACCAUCUAGUCGCUUGGCAAGACAGUAAUUUAACCACUCAAGUUGUCUUUCACCUGCGGGGGAUAGAGAGUUAUGAUUCUGCAUCAAAGCCAUCACAACAUUCCUUCAAACAACAUACUAACCAUGCCAUUGGCAUUCAAUUAAUGUUAAAUACAGUAAUAUUUCAUUCACACAUAAUAUUGGGGAGAAUGAGGUUUUCUACACAAAUGAAUUUUGCAGACAAACAAAGCUCACCCCAACAAGAACCAAAGAUAUUAGUAAAUUUUGAAACAUUUUUGAUAGAAUUUAAAUGCCCUUUUAAUGCCCAACGACCACUUAAAUAAGGCGCAGGGAUCUUUAUUUUGUUUAUUCAUAGCCAAUGAUCACUUUAAGCGUAAUACAUGGCUACAUGCAAUGCAGUGGUUUCGCCUAAAAGCUUCAGUUAUGUUUCUCAAGUUCUGGUGAGCAACUCUCCUUGAAGCAUGUCAAGCUCUUGUUGGUCUAGCUGUCGCUUUUGCUACUAUUAGCAGGUUUGACUGCUCUUGGCUUGAGCAUUCCCACCCCAUUCACAUUUGCUCUGUGUGAGAAACAAGAUUAUAAAACUUACGAACCUGAGCAGUAUCACUUUACAACAAUUCUCAGUCCAGAGGACCCCAGGAAGAGCUUAAGAGUUUUUCCAUACCUCGGCUGGGCACGGUGGCUCACGCCUGUAAUCCCAGCACUUUGGGAGGCCAAGGCGGGUGGAUCACAAGGUCAGGAGAUGGAGACCAUCCUGGCUAACAUAGUGAGACCCUGUCCCUACUAAAAAUACAAAAAUUAGCCAUACGUGGUGGCAGGCGCCUGUAGUCCCAGCUACUCAGGAGUCUGAGGCAGGAGCAUGGCGUGAACCUGGGAGGAAGAGGCCGCAGUGAGCCGAGAUCGCACCACUGCACUCCAGCCUGGGCGACAGAGUGAGACUCCAUUUCAAAAAAAAAAAAAA